rnacentral:tRNA from 3 species
GGUCCCUUAGUUUAAUGGAUAAAACAAGGACCUCCUAAGUCUUAGAUGCAAGUUCGAUUCUUGCAGGGACCGCCA